rnacentral:rRNA from 1 species
AUACGGAGGGUGCAAGCGUUAAUCGGAAUUACUGGGCGUAAAGCGUGCGUAGGCGGCUCGUUAAGUCAGAUGUGAAAGCCCUGGGCUCAACCUGGGAACUGCAUUUGAAACUGGCGAGCUAGAGUUUGAGAGAGGUAAGUGGAAUUUCAGGUGUAGCGGUGAAAUGCGUAGAGAUCUGAAGGAACACCAGUGGCGAAGGCGACUUACUGGCUUAAAACUGACGCUGAGGUACGAAAGCGUGGGUAGCAAACAGGAUUAGAUACCCUGGUAGUCCACGCCGUAAACGAUGUCAACUAGCCGUUGGCUCUCUUCGAGAGUUAGUGGCGCAGCUAACGCAUUAAGUUGACCGCCUGGGGAGUACGGCCGCAAGGUUAAA